rnacentral:rRNA from 1 species
AGGCUUAAUACAUGCAAGUCGAACGGUUUGUAGCAAUACAGCAGUGGCAGACGGGUGAGUAACACGUGGGAACCUACCUAGGGGUACGGAAUAACUCAGGGAAACUUGUGCUAAUACCGUAUACGACCUUCGGGUGAAAGAUUUAUCGCCCCUAGAUGGGCCCGCGUUGGAUUAGCUAGUUGGUGGGGUAAAAGCCUACCAAGGCGACGAUCCAUAGCUGGUCUGAGAGGAUGAUCAGCCACACUGGGACUGAGACACGGCCCAGACUCCUACGGGAGGCAGCAGUAGGGAAUCUUGGACAAUGGGCGAAAGCCUGAUCCAGCCAUGCCGCGUGAGUGAUGAAGGCCUUAUUGGUUGUAAAGCUCUUUCGCCAGGGAAGAUAAUGACGGUACCUGGAUAAGAAGCCCCGGCUAACUUCGUGCCAGCAGCCGCGGUAAUACGAAGGGGGCUAGCGUUGUUCGGAAUUACUGGGCGUAAAGCGCACGUAGGCGGUUUUCCAAGUUGGAGGUGAAAUCCCUGGGCUCAACCCGGGAACUGCCUCCAAAACUGGAUGACUCGAGUCCGAGAGAGGUGAGUGGAAUUUCCAGUGUAGAGGUGAAAUGCGUAGAUAUGGGAAAGAACACCAGUUGGCAAAGGCGGCUCACUGGCUCGGUACUGACGCGGAGGUGCAACAGCUUGGGGAACAACAAGGAUUAAAUACCCUGGUANUACACGCGGUAAACAAUGGUUGCANUUGUUCGGCACUGGCUCGUAACAGCAUGACGCGGUGAAUACGUUCCCGGGCCUUGUACACACCGCCCGUCACACCAUGGGAGUUGGUUUUACCCGAAGCUGGUGCGCUAACCGCAAGGAGGCAGCCAACCACGGUAAGGUCAGCGACUGGGGUGAAGUCGUAACAAGGUAGCCAACUGCAGGAGCAUGUGGUUUAAUUCGACGCAUCGCGCAGAACCUUACCAACCCUUGACAUCCCGGUCGCGGUUACCAGAGAUGGUUUCCUUCAGUUCGGCUGGACCGGAGACAGGUGUUGCAUGGCUGUCGUCAGCUCGUGUCGUGAGAUGUUGGGUUAAGUCCCGCAACGAGCGCAACCCUCGCCUUUAGUUGCCAUCAUUUAGUUGGGCACUCUAGAGGGACUGCCGGUGAUAAGCCGGAGGAAGGUGGGGAUGACGUCAAGUCCUCAUGGCCCUUACGGGUUGGGCUACACACGUGCUACAAUGGCGGCGACAAUGGGCAGCGAAGGGGCGACCCGGUGCAAAUCCCAAAAAGCCGUCUCAGUUCGGAUUGUACUCUGCAACUCGAGUGCAUGAAGGUGGAAUCGCUAGUAAUCGCGUAACAGCAUGACGCGGUGAAUACGUUCCCGGGCCUUGUACACACCGCCCGUCACACCAUGGGAGUUGGUUUUACCCGAAGCUGGUGCGCUAACCCGCAAGGAGGCAGCCAACCACGGUAAGGUCAGCGACUGGGGUGAANUUCUUAACAAGGUACCCCAGGGCC